UCAAGAAAAAGGACUUACAGUAACAAGAUUCCUUGUUUGCUAACCCGUUGGCUGCUACCCUUGAAUCUCCCUAUUUGUCAACAACAUAAAUGAGGUUAAAUAUUGUGAUAAUGCUAUCAUCAUUAUGUUGCCUAUAAGACCAAAUGUGGGGUUAUCCCUCCAAAAUAAGGCAAUAACCACACGUUCAACGCGGAUAAUUCGUUUUGUCAUCGAACUUGACUCAUUCCAUCUUCUGGAUUGCUUAGGAAAGCUGAUUGGUGUUACCUGUGUAAUGACCGAGAAGAUGCGGCCUACAUGAAC